rnacentral:lncRNA from 1 species
AAGAUCGACACACAGAAAUAUAGAGAUUCAGUUCUCUAUCUCUCUCUCUCUCUCUCCGUUCUUUUCUUCAGUUUUAUCUCAAUCAGUUUGCGAUAUUCGGCAUGUUAACAUGGUAUCAAAGCAGUGAUUCCGAUUCUGCUCGUCACCAGCUUUCUCGCGUUGUUACCCUCAUGAAUUUUUAUCCGAGUUUCGCUGCUAUAUGAAAAUCUAGGGUUUUCUCGUUUUGCUGGGUUUUCCACUGUAAUCAUUUUUUUUGAGGUUUCUACUUCGUCGUUUUCAUCGAUUCCUAAGGAUUUGGAUAUCCACGAACUCAGGGUUUCGAUUCGUGAGGUUUCUGGCUUGGUAAGGAUUCUCGGUCAAAAAAAUGGUUAAUGUUGGUGAUAAUUCUGAUUCUGGUCCCACUAAUUUCACACUUGACUCUUCGAGCCCUUUAUUUGUCAUAUCUUCUUAUGUACCCGGAGUCUCUUUGGUUAGUAAUCCCUUUUCAGGGACUGGUUUUGGGGGAUGGAGGAGAAAUAUAAUUGUUUCACUAUUUGCUAGGAAUAAGAUAGGUUUUGUCGAUGGAACAGUUCCCAAACCUCCGAAAAUUCCCCUCAUUCUAGGCAGAGUGAUAGGUGUAAUAAUAUUGUUAUCUCUUGGCUCAGUAAUUCUCUUACGCUAGAGAUAGCUGAGAGUGUUCAGUAUUCUGACACUGCUCAAAGUAUUUGGACUCAGCUUAUAGUAGGAAUGGGACUGUGAAUGGUACCAAAAUAUUUGAG